GACGAACGCUGGCGGCGUGCCUAAUACAUGCAAGUAGGACGCACAGUCUAUACCGUAGCUUGCUACACCAUAGACUGUGAGUUGCGAACGGGUGAGUAACGCGUAGGUAACCUGCCUAUUAGAGGGGGAUAACUAUUGGAAACGAUAGCUAAUACCGCAUAACAGUAUGUAACACAUGUUAGAUGCUUGAAAGAUGCAAUUGCAUCGCUAGUAGAUGGACCUGCGUUGUAUUAGCUAGUAGGUAGGGUAAUGGCCUACCUGGGCGACGAUACAUAGCCGACCUGAGAGGGUGAUCGGCCACACUGGGACUGAGACACGGCCCAGACUCCUACGGGAGGCAGCAGUAGGGAAUCUUCGGCAAUGGGGGGAACCCUGACCGAGCAACGCCGCGUGAGUGAAGAAGGUUUUCGGAUCGUAAAGCUCUGUUGUUAAGGAAGAACGAGUGUGAGAAUGGAAAGUUCAUACUGUGACGGUACUUAACCAGAAAGGGACGGCUAACUACGUGCCAGCAGCCGCGGUAAUACGUAGGUCCCGAGCGUUGUCCGGAUUUAUUGGGCGUAAAGCGAGCGCAGGCGGUUAGAAAAGUCUGAAGUGAAAGGCAGUGGCUCAACCAUUGUAGGCUUUGGAAACUGUUUAACUUGAGUGCAGAAGGGGAGAGUGGAAUUCCAUGUGUAGCGGUGAAAUGCGUAGAUAUAUGGAGGAACACCGGUGGCGAAAGCGGCUCUCUGGUCUGUAACUGACGCUGAGGCUCGAAAGCGUGGGGAGCGAACAGG
rnacentral:rRNA from 1 species